rnacentral:tRNA from 1 species
GCUCGAGUGGUGAAAUUGGCAUACACGCAAGACUUAGGAUCUUGUGCCUCACGGCAUGAGGGUUCGACUCCCUCCUCGAGCACCA